GACGAACGCUGGCGGCGUGCCUAAUACAUGCAAGUAGAACGCACAGUUUAUACCGUAGCUUGCUACACCAUAGACUGUGAGUUGCGAACGGGUGAGUAACGCGUAGGUAACCUGCCUGGUAGCGGGGGAUAACUAUUGGAAACGAUAGCUAAUACCGCAUAAUAUUAAUUAUUGCAUGAUAAUUAAUUGAAAGGUGCAAUUGCACCACUACCAGAUGGACCUGCGUUGUAUUAGCUAGUAGGUGAGGUAACGGCUCACCUAGGCGACGAUACAUAGCCGACCUGAGAGGGUGAUCGGCCACACUGGGACUGAGAAACGGCCCAGACUCCUACGGGAGGCAGCAGUAGGGAAUCUUCGGCAAUGGACGAAAGUCUGACCGAGCAACGCCGCGUGAGUGAAGAAGGUUUUCGGAUCGUAAAGCUCUGUUGUAAGAGAAGAACGGGUGUGAGAGUGGAAAGUUCACACUGUGACGGUAUCUGACCAGAAAGGGACGGCUAACUACGUG
rnacentral:rRNA from 1 species